CACGUAGGGCGCAAGCGUUGUCCGGAUUUAUUGGGCGUAAAGAGCGUGUAGGCGGCCUUACAGGUCAGCUGUGAAAACUCGAGGCUCAACCUCGAGACGUCGGUUGAAACCGUAUGGCUAGAGUCCGGAAGAGGAGAGUGGAAUUCCCGGUGUAGCGGUGAAAUGCGCAGAUAUCGGGAAGAACACCCGUGGCGAAGGCGGCUCUCUGGGACGGUACUGACGCUGAGACGCGAAAGCGUGGGGAGCGAACAGG
rnacentral:rRNA from 1 species